CUUAGAGAGCUUGCUUUUUAAGCUUAGUGGCGGACUGGUGAGUAACGCGUGAGGAACCUGCCUUUCAGAGGGGGACAACGGUUGGAAACGACUGCUAAUACCGCAUGACGCAUUUUGAUCGCAUGGUCGAAAUGCCAAAGAUUUAUCGCUUCAAGAUGGUCUCGCGUCUGAUUAGCUAGUUGGCGGGGUAACGGCCCACCAAGGCGACGAUCAGUAGCCGGACUGAGAGGUUGAACGGCCACAUUGGGACUGAGAUACGGCCCAGACUCC
rnacentral:rRNA from 1 species